UACAGAGGGUGCGAGCGUUAAUCGGAAUUACUGGGCGUAAAGAGCUCGUAGGUGGUUUGUCGCGUUGUCCGUGAAAACUCACAGCUUAACUGUGGGCGUGCGGGCGAUACGGGCAGACUGGAGUACUGCAGGGGAGACUGGAAUUCCUGGUGUAGCGGUGGAAUGCGCAGAUAUCAGGAGGAACACCGGUGGCGAAGGCGGGUCUCUGGGCAGUAACUGACGCUGAGGAGCGAAAGCGUGGGGAGCGAACAGG
rnacentral:rRNA from 1 species